UACGGGGGGGGCAAGCGUUGUUCGGAAUUACUGGGCGUAAAGCGUGCGUAGGUGGUUUGUUAAGUCUGAUGUGAAAGCCCUGGGCUCAACCUGGGAAUGGCAUUGGAUACUGGCGAGCUAGAGUGCGGUAGAGGGUAGUGGAAUUCCCGGUGUAGCAGUGAAAUGCGUAGAGAUCGGGAGGAACAUCUGUGGCGAAGGCGACUACCUGGACCAGCACUGACACUGAGGCACGAAAGCGUGGGGAGCAAACAGG
rnacentral:rRNA from 1 species